rnacentral:rRNA from 1 species
AUUGAACGCUGGCGGCAGGCCUAACACAUGCAAGUCGAGCGGGGUUUUCGGACCUAGCGGCGGACGGGUGAGUAAUGCGUAGGAAGCUACCCGAUAGAGGGGGAUACCAGUUGGAAACGACUGUUAAUACCGCAUAAUGUCUACGGACCAAAGUGUGGGACCUUCGGGCCACAUGCUAUCGGAUGUGCCUACGUGGGAUUAGCUAGUUGGUGAGGUAAUGGCUCACCAAGGCGACGAUCCCUAGCUGGUUUGAGAGGAUGAUCAGCCACACUGGAACUGAGACACGGUCCAGACUCCUACGGGAGGCAGCAGUGGGGAAUAUUGGACAAUGGGCGCAAGCCUGAUCCAGCCAUGCCGCGUGUGUGAAGAAGGCCUUCGGGUUGUAAAGCACUUUCAGUAAGGAGGAAGCGUUGAGUGUUAAUAGUACUCAGCGUUGACGUUACUUACAGAAGAAGCACCGGCUAACUCUGUGCCAGCAGCCGCCGCAGUAA